UACGGAGGAUCCAAGCGUUAUCCGGAAUUACUGGGCGUAAAGAGUUGCGUAGGUGGCAUUGUAAGUUAAUAGUGAAAGCGUUCGGCUCAACCGAAUAUCCAUUAUUAAAACUACAAAGCUAGAGGAUGAGAGAGGUUAUUGGAAUUCCUUGUGUAGGAGUGAAAUCCGUAGAUAUAAGGAGGAACACCGAUGGCGUAGGCAGAUAACUGGCUCAUUCCUGACACUAAGGCACGAAAGCGUGGGUAGCAAACGGG
rnacentral:rRNA from 1 species